rnacentral:misc_RNA from 1 species
UUGAUUCUUAAUCAGAUUCAGACGUCAGACCGGAUUUACGCGUCGAGGCGGCGCCGGAGCGCCGAAGCACGGGUCGCUUCCACCUUGUUUGUGUGUCGAGGGACACGAGGCCCCAUUCGAUAAUGAUCCCUCCGCAGGUUCACCUACGGAGA